rnacentral:rRNA from 1 species
AAUAGCGUAUAUUAAAGUUGCUGCGGUUAAAAAGCUCGUAGUUGGAUUUCAAUCCAAGUUAGUGGGUCCACUUGUUAGUGGCUACUCUCUAACCGGACAUUUUAUUGAGUCGUCCGUAGAUGCUCUUCACCGAGUGUCUAUAGCGAUCAAUACGUUUACUUUGAAAAAAUUAGAGUGCUCAAAGCAGGCUUUAUGCCCGAAUAAUCUCGCAUGGAAUAAUGGAAUAGGACCUCGGUUCUAUUUUGCUGGUCUUCGGGACCUGAGGUAAUGAUUAAGAGGGACAGACGGGGGCAUUCGUAUUGCGGCGCUAGAGGUGAAAUUCUUGGACCGUCGCAAGACGAACUACAGCGAAAGCAUUUGCCAAGAAUGUUU